GGGGCUGCAUUGGUUUCGACGUGGGUUCGGACGCGGUGUGGUGCAUGUCGAGCUGAAUGUGCUCGUAAAACAGAUUCAAAAAAAGUAACUGCAAACGACGAACGUUUCGCAAUCGCUGCUUAAACACCAGUGAUCCUUACAACAGCUCGCCGAUGGGCUGGGCAAGGGUGGCCUGAUGCAAGUCAGGUUGUCCAGGCUGUAAGGUCAUACACAUCGGCUGGCUUCCGACCGGGCACCUUGGCCGGAGGCGAGAAAAUAGGAUGCUGGCGGCCUGUAUAGCGUGCGACUGCGCGAUCCAGGUGGCGAGACCUAAAUCAGACCGCUAAACAUGUAGAUCUGCUCGAACAAGGCUUGCGGACGGGGGUUCAAAUCCCCCCAGCUCCACCA
rnacentral:tmRNA from 1 species